AAAUUGAAGAGUUUGAUCAUGGCUCAGAUUGAACGCUGGCGGCAGGCCUAACACAUGCAAGUCGAACGGUAACAGGAAGCAGCUUGCUGCUUCGCUGACGAGUGGCGGACGGGUGAGUAAUGUCUGGGAAACUGCCUGAUGGAGGGGGAUAACUACUGGAAACGGUGGCUAAUACCGCAUAACGUCGCAAGACCAAAGAGGGGGACCUUCGGGCCUCUUGCCAUCAGAUGUGCCCAGAUGGGAUUAGCUUGUUGGUGAGGUAACGGCUCACCAAGGCGACGAUCCCUAGCUGGUCUGAGAGGAUGAUCAGCCACACUGGAACUGAGACACGGUCCAGACUCCUACGGGAGGCAGCAGUGGGGAAUAUUGCACAAUGGGCGCAAGCCUGAUGCAGCCAUGCCGCGUGUAUGAAGAAGGCCUUCGGGUUGUAAAGUACUUUCAGCGGGGAGGAAGGUGUUGUGGUUAAUAACC
rnacentral:rRNA from 1 species